AGGACGAACGCUGGCGGCGUGCUUAACACAUGCAAGUCGAGCGGAGAGGCCUUUCGGGGUACUCGAGCGGCGAACGGGUGAGUAACACGUGAGUAAUCUGCCCAUCGCUUCAGGAUAGCCAUCGGAAACGGUGAUUAAUACUGGAUAUGACAUUCCUUCGCAUGUUGGGGUGUGGUAAAGUUUUUUCGGCGGUGGAUGUGCUCGCGGCCUAUCAGCUUGGUUGGUGGGGUAAUCGGCCUAACCGAAGGUCUUUGGACGGGUAGCCGGCCUGGAGAGGGUGACCCGGCCGACCGGCCGGGACUGAGACCGACGGCCCAGACCUCCGUACGGGAGCAGCGAGGUCGGGAAUAGUGGAC
rnacentral:rRNA from 1 species